UAUUUUCUUUUAUGAUUUUUUCCUUGAUGAUAGCCUGUGCUUCUUUUUUUACCUCUCUAUUUAGAGACUAGAACGCCCUUCCCUGUGAUGAACGAUCAGGAUCUGCUCGAGCUAUAGGUUGGACGGUCGGAUUGGGGUCGGGUGGGCUUGCAUCAGCCUACGGGUGAGAUAACGAGAUGCGAUUGGAAUUGGAACUUUGCAAUUUGCAAGUAGAGAUGGAGAGGAUCCUCCACCCUGCAAUAUCGCCGAGGGAUGUAUAGGCCUCGUCGCCGAUCGUGAGGACUCGUCCCAUCAUGUCGUCGGUAAUCAUUAGGGUUUCGUCUGUUCGAUCAUCUCAAGCCUUGGUUCCUCGAUGGAUCUUUUUUCCCGUCUUUUCUCGAUUUUGAAGAACCGAAAUGACCUGGACAAAAUUACCUAAUUCGAUGUGUGGUUUCUUGAAACCUCGAAUUGCUCUAGUUGAUGGCAUGAUAUAUAUGGGAGGAGCGCUUGUGGCGGAAGUGAUAGAAUUUCCUGCAGGUGAGAGGCUGAGUACCGCAUGCGACGACCUGUUUAUCCAUCAACGCUGGGAUACGGGUGAUUUUUUGAGUUUGCAUCGGCAAUCUGCCGAGGCAUAUUUGCAGAACAGCAUUGGACUGUGAUCAUAUCCAUUCCAGGGCAGAUCCAAUUCAUCAUCAACCCAUCCACCAUUUUGGGCGUCAGUGGCUGAGAUUGACUGCAACCGACCACUGAGAGCUGCAAGACGAAGAGUAUCCGAGUCCAAACUAUUAUGUACAACACUACUACUGUUGGGAGAAGAAGAAGCAAUCUACUCCUUUUCCUGCUCCAACCAAGAUUGUAUACAUGAAGAGCUUGAUCUUAUCCACUCAAUUUGUAAUAGAUUUAGUUCGAGGAACGAAAGAACAUAUUGUUGUUGUGCUGCUCUUAUCAAAUUAUAUGCUACAAAAGCCAUUUUCCCAAAA